rnacentral:lncRNA from 10 species
UUCUCAUCAGCUAUUGUUAGUGUUGGCGUAUUUUAUGUGUGGCCCAAGACAAUUCUUCUUCCAAUGUGGCCCAGAAAAGCCAAAAGACUGGACACCUCUGGUUUAGGGCAAGAUAAAAAUGCAUUUCAAAAAAUUUAAGUAGCAGGGUGCAGUGGUUCAUGCCUGUAAUCCCAACACUUUGGGAGGCUAAGGCGGGUGGAUUGCUUGAGGUCAGGAGUUUGAGACCAGCCUGGCCAACAUGGCAAAACCCCAUCUCUACUAAAAGUACAAAAAUUAGCCAGGUGUGGUGGGGCAGGCAUCUGGUCCCAGCUACUCAGGAGGUUGAGGCAGGAGAAUUGCUUAAACUUGGGAGACAGAGGUUUCAGUGAGCCAAGAUCAUGCCACUGCACUCCAGCCUGGGUGACAGAGUGAGACUGUCUCAAAAAUAAAAUAAAAUAAAUAAAUAAAUAAAAAUAAGUAAAUAGCAAUAUAUUACACCAUACAAUAAAUGAAGGCCUCCAGGUGCAUUUUAGUGGAACUGUUAAUAAUAACAGCUCAGUGCUUGCUUCAGCAGCACAUACACUAAAAUUGGAAUGAUACAGAAAAGAUUAGCAUGGGCCCUGCAUGAGGAUGAUGUGCAAAUUCGUGAAGUGUUCCAUAUUUUUACUUUAAAUUUCAUAUGUAACCAAAAAUGAGCCUGCAUAGCCAAGACAAUCCUAAUCAAAAAGAACAAAGCUGGAGGCAUCCUGCUACCUGACUUCGAACUAUGCUACAAGGCUACAGUAGCCAAAAGAGCAUGGUACUGGUACCAAAACAGAUUUAUAGACCAAUGGAACAGAACAGAGGCCUUAGAAAUAACACCACAUAUCUACAACCAUCUGAUCUUUGACAAACCUGGCAAAAAGAAGCAAUGGGGAAAGGAUUCCCUAUUGAAUAAAUGGUGUUGGGAAAACUGGCUAGCCAUAUGCAGAAAGCUGAAACUGGACCUCUUCCUUACACCUUAUACAAAAAUUAACUCAAGAUGGAUUAAAUACUUAAACAUAAGACCUAAAACUAUAAAAACCCUAGAAGAAAACCUAGGUAAUACCAUUCUAGACAUAGGCAUGGGCCAAGACUUCAUGACUAAAACACCAAAAGCAAUGACAACAAAAGCCAAAAUUGACAAAUUGAAUCUGAUUAAACUAAAGAGCUUCUGCACAGCAAAAGAAGCUAUCAUCAGAGUGAACAGGCAACCUACAGAAUGGGAGAAAAUUUUUGCAAUCUAUUCAUCUGACAAGGGGCUAAUAUCCAGAAUCUACAAAGAACUUAAAGAAAUUUACAAGAAAAACAAACAACCC